rnacentral:lncRNA from 1 species
AAAACAGAAAAAUACGUAUUCAAGUUCAUAUUUGCAUUAUCUCGGUCUUAAUAACACAAUACCAUGAAGACAAACAGAUAAUGUAGAUGAAUAAAAUCAGUAAUAACCAGCAUACAAAUAGUUAGCCACACAAGAAACUACUAAUAUUGAAACAUAGAGAUGAAGGCCUCGUUUGUUUUUCUACUACAAAAGUACUUUUUGAGCACUUUUCCCUUCUGGCGGGUAGACGUUUUGCAAGUGCACGUCUUCUUCCGCAAACUUGGAAAAAGACAAAAGACAUUUAACCACUUCCAAAACAAACAGCACCGAAGAAUACCUGUUGCGACAGAAUGCGUGUUGCACAGCAGAGCUCGAAGUGGAGAAAGAAGAAACCCUAUUCGAUUGACACAGAUACAACGAUUUUGCAGGCCGUGGAGAAGACGCAAACGUAUUAUAUAUGGGAUGUAUCCUUUUAUUAUUAGGUUACUAGGUCUCAGACCCAUGUAUUAUAUACACUAGGUCACAAUUCCCACGGGUAAAAUAUUUUUAAAAUUUUAUUAUUUAAUAAGAUUAAAGUUUUCUAAAACUUUUGUAUUGUUUGUUUAAAAUUAAUAUAUAUUUAUUUAAACAUCCGAUAUACGUUAUGUAUGUAGCUAAAUUCAAACAUAGUCUAAAUGUUUUGGGUGCCAUAACACUAAACAAAAAAGAAAAUACUAUUUUCCAUGUUUAUGGAUUAACUAAAACUUUAGAGAAUGUUCAUACAUAAAAAAUAAAAUAUAACGAUUUUUUGAACCGAUAAAAAAUAGAAUCUCAAACAACUUCUAUUAAAACAUGAAAAUUUUAACUACUUAAAAGCUAAAUCAUCUAAUUUAUUUAUCAAACAUGAAGGGUUACAAAGAUAAACAUUAUAUAUUGUACUUUAAAAUUUUGAUCUUGCAAUUUGACCAUUUCAUGCAAGUACAUUGUCGUCCUACCACCAUUUACUUAGAUUAUCUAAAAAGAUCAAACGUAUAUUUUUACUUGAUAACAUUGGGUAAAAUUUCAUCAAAAUUUUGAGAGCAAACGUAUAUUUUUACUUGAUAACACUGGGUAAAAUUUCAUCUUCUCUUUCUUAAUUGAGAUAUUAAUUUUACAUUAAGUCAAACUUCAGAGCAAGAACAUUGAUUGAGAUUAACACUUAAGUACCCAUAUUUGAAUUUCAUGAGUAUUUUAUCUCUAUUUUUCUUUUGAAGGAGCACUUUAAAAUGUUGUUACCUCAUAACUAUAGCAUGCACCUUUCCAACACUCAUAAGACUUUUAUGGAUUCCAAUAAUCUUUUGCAAGUUUUUAGAUUUUUUGCAACCACAUAUUGGAAUGAAAUGGAACAUUCCGGUUCUUAAAAAGUGAUUUUAUUCGUAAACAUAGUGUAAAAAGGAACCAUUUUGCCCCUGUAGUCAAAUAUAUUUAUUAAUUUUUUUUUACUUAAUAUAAACCAAAAGAAUUAAUAAAAAACAAAAAAAAAAAAAUAGGGGCUUGAUCUUACCUCAAGCAAAUAGGAUACUACUUGGUCUAGAGACAAAGUCUCUCCGUCUAUGGUAAUAUGCGUCCAGGCUUUAGAAUAUCACUCAUCCUAAACCUAUAAAAAAAUAUUCUCAAAACCUAUUAAGAAUUAAAAUAAAAUUAUAAUCCAUUUUGGUUUUCAUUUCGGGUGGUCAAAAGUGCAUUCAACUAAUCCAAAUCCUAACCAGGUAAUUCAAAGCGGGUCUUUAACCAUAAAAAAUGCAAGAAAUAAUAAUGUACUUUCUAUUUAAAGAACAUUAUUAUAAAUAGAUAGAUAUUUCAAACUAUAACGUUGUAACAGGAAAAAAUAAAAAUUAAGAUGCUAUCAAAAGUCAAACAUAGCAGCCUAUUCCAAUUUAACCUUGUUCAGUUUGUUUAAAAUUUACAAUAUAUCUUCAUGCUCUUGUAUAAAAUAUCAUAUAUUUGAUCUGUUCUACAAUGUAUCUUAAAACUUUACAGAACACACCUAAUUAAUUUCAUAUGUACAAUCUACUACACAUAAUUGUUUUAGAAUUAUAAUUAUAAUUAAUAAAUAUGAACAAUCAUACAUACAUUUUCAUCUUAAUUAUGAAACUACUUUUUUAUAGUCAUAUCCAGAAACAAAAAACUAAAACAUGAUUCCAAAUUAUAAAAAAAUAAAAAUUUGACACCCAGAUGCUUACAUGCUAAAUUCCAAACAUGAUUGUUAUGAGGUAAUACAUUUAUCUCUAAACACAAAUACACAGCUACACAAAAAUAUAUUUUAAGCAUUAAAGCACAAGAGAACAUAACUAAUAGAUAACAUAUACCUUUAUUGCCCCAUGAAAAUUGGUUUGACAGACAAUUUGCCUGUCAUCUGAUAAUAACCCAAUCCUUAUUCUUUGAGUAUACAAAAUUCAUUUAAAAGAAUUUCGACACCAAGGAUAGGAGACUGUCAAAAUCCUAAUAAUAAAAGUUAGAAAUACACAUACCUUAAAACUACCAAAUACACAUACCUUUUCACCAUGUUCAACAACAUAUGCAAAAUAACCCUCACCAAUUGAUUAGGCCAGUGAUCCCUGUCUGGCAAGCAUAAAAACGAAACUACAAAACUGAUGUAAGCAUACUUAUAGAAUUGCCCUUUUUUGGUGAUGUUCUAUAGACCUGACACUACACAUGAGACCAAAGAUAUUUGGUUGAGAAGAUGAAAAAUAAGCAAAAAUUAAAGAAAAAGAAGAGUGUCAAAGGAACUCCAUAUGCAGAAAUCCAAAUGAUUUCCCCUACAACGAUUAAGGUUUUCCUUCCACCCAUAGCGAUCUAGGCAAAUCUCUGUCUACUCGACAAAAAUAUAACAAACCUCUCACCAAUAGCUAUAAAUUCUUGAUAUAUAGAGAAGAGAAGAUCGAUUGGGUUGUUGGGGGUAGGGGGUAUUCAAAAAUGGAAAGAAUUUAAACAAAAAAACGUAAAUCUACAAAAUCGAAAUCGACCUCUAAUAAAUCGUUUGUACUGUGGAUGGAAUGGAGGAUCGAUUCGGAGACCAUCACAUAGUCGUAAAUAACCCUCAUGAAAACUUGAACCAUAUCAAUUCUCUGGCAGAUAAGAGAAGGAAUGAGAUAGAGAGGUGUAUUCGUAAUCCAUAAAAAGCUGCAACAUGGUUGUUGAUUUCUUGAGAUGUAGAUAGAAAUCAAUUUCGGUAUAUCCCUAAUUUUAUGCUGAGAACUUUAAAAUCAGAAACCGAAUCACAUAGAGGAACAUACAUAUUAAGGGGGUAUGUUGUUGACGAUCUAAUCAAAGAAAAUGAACCAAGUUUCCAAAAUAAAUGAGAGAUUUGGGGAAUAAACGGACGCCACGUAGGAAUAAAGAUAUUACAGGUUUUAAAAGUUGAGGGGCAAAUCAGGUAGUUUAUUUUGAAAUUUCUUUAGCACGAG